AAAAUAAUCUAAAGCCGAGUAAUAUGAGACAAUUAAAAUAAUUCAUCCAAACCCAUAUAAAUAAUUGAAUUUCAUCUAAUUACUCAACAUGGCUUAUGCACUUUUCAAAAACUUGGCCCUUGCCAAAAAUCCAUUCUCGAGGAUACCCCGCGAAGGCAUCUUACCGAGACAGCCAAGGCUGUUUAUUGUCACACACUCGAACACAUUUCACCUCUGACAACACAGCCGUUCCUCGGCAUUGGCUGAGUCCCAGUUUCACGUGGUG
rnacentral:lncRNA from 1 species